UCGGACGUGGUGCAUUAGGGUUCACGGUGCACGCCCGCUUCUACUUAAAGUUUACAUAUGUGGGGAAGCCUGGGUUCGAUCCCCAGCGUCCGAA